UGGUGGAGUGAUCUGUCUGAUUAAUUUCGUUAACGAACGAGACCUCGACCUGCUAAAUAGCUCGGCGAGCGCCUCGUGCGCUCGGUUCCGCGGCUUCUUAGAGGGACGUUCGGUGCGUAGCCGAAGGAAGUUCGAGGCAAUAACA
rnacentral:rRNA from 1 species